UAAACAACGAACACAGUGUUUUUAUUUACAGCUGUGGGCUAAAGUAAGCCUAAUAUUAUCGACAAAAUGAUUUAGGUUGAUGCAUUGUUCAUUGUUGCUGGCUCGGUAGCAGUAAAGUUUGUGCUAGCUGGCUGCGGUAACGAAGCUAUAAAACAGCAAGAAAGUUAGCGAUACUACACAGCCAAACGUUAUUUUGAAUUCGAUAUUAUUUCUACGUCACGUCACCCAUAUGGUUUGUCGACAAAGCAGUUGCAAGUAGCUAAAUUAUCUCUGCUCUGAUUUUAUCCGUGUAGUCCAGAAUUGACUAAUCUGGGAGCGUUGUUGUAAUUGGCGUUGACAUUUGGAGUGGCUGAGCCUGGGGCAGUCGGAAAUCGGAUUUUUUUUCUUAGAGCUUUUAUCUUUUCAUUUAUUGAUAUCUGUUGAGAUAUGUUUCAACCAACUAUCAAGAAAAAUGUUCUGAAAUAUACUCACAUAGGCUACCGCGCCUUUAAUUUUUUUCUAAAAUAUUCUAGUAGGCUGUGAUACAGAGUCAAAACAAAUCUGUAUCGCUACCCAAAUAUUUACAGACUACACCGUCGUUUGGAACGAUAUGUUUGGAAUGACAACUUGAAUUCCUGCUAUGAGUCAGACGUAAGGAACGCACUGGAAGCUCACAGUUCAACUAAGCAAGCUUCGCUGAACCAGCAGCAGGUGGGUGGACGAGUGAUUGCACAGCACGAGCGAUUUGGAACACAGUACAAAUGCUCAUUACCAGCGACAAAUUGAAUCCCGUCCAAAUGCACACCUGACAGCUGCACAAAACUGUCCCAAUGGCGACUUCAAGUACCUCGAAUGGGAAUCAAAAGUCGGA